rnacentral:rRNA from 1 species
AUACGUAGGGUGCGAGCGUUAAUCGGAAUUACUGGGCGUAAAGGGUGCGCAGGCGGAUAUGUAAGUUAGAUGUGAAAUCCCCGGGCUUAACCUGGGAAUGGCAUUUAAGACUGCAUGUCUAGAGUUUAUCAGAGGGGGGUAGAAUUCCAAGUGUAGCAGUGAAAUGCGUAGAGAUUUGGAGGAAUACCGGUGGCGAAGGCGACCCCCUGGGAAAGAACUGACGCUCAGGCACGAAAGCGUGGGUAGCAAACAGGAUUAGAUACCCUGGUAGUCCACGCCCUAAACGAUGUCUACUUGCUGUUGGGGGUAAAACCUUAGUAGCGAAGCUAACGUGAGAAGUAGACCGCCUGGGGAGUACGGUCGCAAGAUUAAA